GAUUUCUGGCGAACCGGCUCAACCCGAUACUGUAUGGUAUUGAGUGCUGAGUCGUGUUGGUCAUCCUUCCGGAAAGCUGCGUCUACCAUUCAGUUGGCCGGACGUACGUGAUCCGGAUCUAUUACUUUGAAAAAAUUAGAGUGUUUAAAGCAGGCUUACGCUAUGAAUACAUUAGCAUGGAAUAAUAAUAUAGGACUUUGAUUCUAUUUUGUUGGUUUCUAGGAUGAAGUAAUGAUUGAUAGGGAUAGUUGGGGGUGCUAGUAUUCCGCGGCCAGAGGUGAAAUUCUUGGAUUCGCGGAAGACUAACUACUGCGAAAGCAUU
rnacentral:rRNA from 1 species